rnacentral:lncRNA from 1 species
UUGGAAUCACACAAGCUCUGACUCUCCGUCUUGAGAUCUUCUAUAGAAUUAAUGUAGGCACGACUCCUUCAAUGAUGAAUCAGCACUAUCUAAUGAGAUCUUUUCUCUCUACUAAAGUCUUAUUUAAAUAAUUAACUUUUAUCUAUAGUGUAUGUCUUAGCUUCCCAGUUAUUCUUCAAACUCUCAGAGAAGCCCCUUCACAUGUAUGCCUUUGCAUCGCCACUCCCAAAUGUCUCGACACAAGAGCUUAACCAAUAUGCACUAAUUGUAUUUGAAGGGAGGUGCUCACAUGGGAGAAAUGCCUUCAGAUUGGAAAAUGAACGGUCUGAGUUGAAGUCAUGCAAGGAAAAACUUGCUGGAAUAUUCAAGAAGUGGUGA